UACAGAGGCCUCGAGCGUUAGGCGGAAUCACUGGGCUUAAAGCGUGUGUAGGCGGAUUGGUAAGUACCUUGUGAAAUCCCACAGCUUAACUGUGGAACUGCUCGGUAUACUGCUGAUCUUGAGCCACUCAGGGGCUACCGGAACAAAUGGUGGAGCGGUGAAAUGCGUAGAUAUCAUUUGGAACGCCAAUGGUGAAAACAGGUAGCUGGGGGUGUGCUGACGCUGGAGACACGAAAGCCAGGGGAGCAAACGGG
rnacentral:rRNA from 1 species